CCUACGGGGAGCAGCAGUCGAGAAUCAUUCACAAUGGGGGAAACCCUGAUGGUGCGACGCCGCGUGGGGGAAUGAAGGUCUUCGGAUUGUAAACCCCUGUCAUGUGGGAGCAAAUUAAAAAGAUAGUACCACAAGAGGAAGAGACGGCUAACUCUGUGCCAGCAGCCGCGGUAAUACAGAGGUCUCAAGCGUUGUUCGGAAUCACUGGGUGUAAAGCGUGCGUAGGCUGUUUCGUAAGUCGUGUGUGAAAGGCGCGGGCUCAACCCGCGGACGGCACAUGAUACUGCGAGACUAGAGUAAGGGAGGGGGAACCGGAAUUCUCGGUGUAGCAGUGAAAUGCGUAGAUAUCGAGAGGAACACUCGUGGCGAAGGCGGGUUCCUGGACAUUAACUGACGCUGAGGCACGAAGGCCAGGGGGGCGAAAGGGAUUAGAUACCCGUGUAGUC
rnacentral:rRNA from 1 species